rnacentral:lncRNA from 1 species
CUCUUGAUAUAGUUACUGAGCACCUUAUGUUUCCUAUCUUGUUUAAUAACUAGAAACCCUGGUAUUAUCUUUUUUUAAAUUCAAGUCCAUCUGAAUUCUACAAAUACCUUUAUAAUGCCUCCCCAAAUCAUCCCUUCCUCUCUAUUUUUACAAUCACUAUUGAGUACUUUUUUAUACUAGCUCAGGCAAAAAGUACUAGUCUAAUAUUAUGCUAACAGAAGUAAGCCAAGCACAAAAGGACAAAUACUGAAUGAUUCAAUUUAUAUGAAAUAUCUACAAUAGGCAAAUUCAGAGACAGAAAGUAAAUUCGGCCAGGCACAGUGGCUCACACCUGUAAUCCCAACACUUUGGAAGGCUGAGGUGGGCAGAUCACCUGAGGUCAGGAGUUCAAGACUAGCCUGGCCAACAUGGUGAAACCCAGUCUCUACUAAAAAUGCAAACAAAUACAAAAAUUAGCCAGGUGUGGUGGUGGGCACCUGUAGUCCCAGCUACUCAGGAGGCUGAGGCAGGAUGAUUGCUUGAACCUGGGAGGCAGAGACUGGCCCAAACUGUGCCACUGCAUUCCAGCCUCGGCAAUAAAGUGAGGCUCUGUCUCAAAGUAAUAAAGUAAUUAAUUAAUUAAAUUAGAGGUUACCAGGGCUGGAGGGAGGAGAGGGGAAUGAGUAAUUGCUUAAUAGAUAAGAAUUUCGG